AUCGAGUAACUCCAACCCCUGUGACAUACCAAUUGUUGCCUCGGCGGAUCAGCCCGCUCCCGGUAAAACGGGACGGCCCGCCAGAGGACCCCUAAACUCUGUUUCUAUAUGUAACUUCUGAGUAAAACCAUAAAUAAAUCAAAACUUUCAACAACGGAUCUCUUGGUUCUGGCAUCGAUGAAGAACGCAGCAAAAUGCGAUAAGUAAUGUGAAUUGCAGAAUUCAGUGAAUCAUCGAAUCUUUGAACGCACAUUGCGCCCGCCAGUAUUCUGGCGGGCAUGCCUGUUCGAGCGUCAUUUCAACCCUCAAGCCCCCGGGUUUGGUGUUGGGGAUCGGCGAGCCCUUGCGGCAAGCCGGCCCCGAAAUCUAGUGGCGGUCUCGCUGCAGCUUCCAUUGCGUAGUAGUAAAACCCUCGCAACUGGUACGCGGCGCGGCCAAGCCGUUAAACCCCCAACUUCUGAAUGUUGACCUCGGAUCAGGUAGGAAUACCCGCUGAACUUAAGCAUAUCAAUAAGCCGGAGGAA
rnacentral:rRNA from 1 species